rnacentral:rRNA from 1 species
AUCGAACGCUGGCGGCAGGCCUAACACAUGCAAGUCGAGCGAGCGGCGGACGGGUGAGUAAUGUCUGGGAAACUGCCUGAUGGAGGGGGAUAACUACUGGAAACGGUAGCUAAUACCGCAUACCAUCAGAUGUGCCCAGGUGGGAUGAGCUAGUAGGUGGGGUAACGGCUCACCUAGGCGACGAUCCGUCGCGGGUCUGAGAGGAUGACCGGCCACACUGGAACUGAGACACGGUCCAGACUCCUACGGGAGGCAGCAGUGGGGAAUAUUGCACAAUGGGCGAAAGUCUGAUGCAGCAAUGCCGCGUGUGUGAAGAAGGUCUUCGGGUCGUAAAGCACUUUCAGCGGGGAAGCGUUACCCGCACAGGAAGCACCGGCUAACUCCGUGCCAGCAGCCGCGGUAAUUC